CCUGCUGCGUCUGCAGGUGUCCCAGGUACGUCACACGCUGCUGGCAGCCUCCCAGCAGCAGCAGCUGUGACGAUGCUUUUGGUGUUGGCUGCCUCUGCACAAGGAGGCUAAAAGGGCUGCCCAUCCGCCAAGAAGAAGCUGGAAUCUCUCUCUCUGGUCCUUCCACAAGUUGCCUGGUGCCACUGCUGUGAUCACUGCCUGGACUCCUUAACCUCAGUGCAGGUCCAGGUGCGGAAGCAAGGCCCCCUCUUCCUUUCGCAGACCGAUCUGGAUUCUGCAAAGAUCCAUCCCCGGUUUCUAGUUUGUCUUUUUAUUUAGAAACCACUGACAACUACAGCGAGGGACAACAGACCGAGAUGAGGGACAACUAAAGUGUGAAGGAUUGCUGUGGAAACCGCCCAACAUCCAAUAUCUGGUGUCUGCAACCUGUCCCCACCUACCCACGAGUUGUUCGGGACGGAAGUCAUCUCCAAAGGUCCAGGAAGACGACACAUCAGCUGAAUGUGACAUUUAAAAGAUAAUCACAGAAACUCUUGAAGACAACUGGGACCAAGUCUUACAAAAAAGCUGUGGAGAUUAGAGGCGAAAGACUGAGGCAAAGUGAUCGAAGGUUUUAGUCUGGGUUCGAAUCCCUCCCUCCCUCCUUCUCCAGUGGUGAAAUCAGUUCCCAGAUGCUUGGUUGUCAUUGUGUGAUAGUUCAGGCUAACGCUCUGUUGAACCCUUCAGUGCUGUUGUUAGUAGGAGGAGGCUUGCAGUGCUCCUCCUCCUCCUCUUCCUCCUCCUCCUCCACUCCGGAAUAAAUAAACAACUGAACACUCUCUCAUUGUGGUGGCCAUUUUUGAACCCAAGCUGUACAAUGCGCCUCUGGAGUGCCUGACAAUAGUGGAAAAAAAACCUGUGUGAUCUGUGUCGGGGAAAAACACUAGUCAGUCCAUUGAUCAGAGACUUUCCAAAAUCCUUCCUUGUCGUGGCGAGCGCUGGGGUGUGUUGUUGAAUUGACUCUCUAGUUCUGAGGACGGUCACUCAGGUUCUGUUAGGGAGGAGUGCGGACAGACGCAUCAAAAACCUAGAACUUUCAACCUGCAGUUGGAUUGUGAAAAGCUCAUCAUAAAGCUACCGCAGGAGGUCUGGAGAUCAGAUACAGAAGAAGAAUCUUUACAAGCACACAAUGAGAUUGGAAGUUCCACCACUGACUGACUGACUGACUGACUGAAUGUGAGGAGAAAUGCCAAAGUGAUGGGAGUGAAAUGUCGUCAUCAUCAGCUACCGCCUCUCUUCCUCCUCCUUCUUGUUUGUCCGGGUGUGACAAUGCUCCGAGCUGAAAUGGCAGGUGGACACUUUUGUGCCGUUCCAAUUAUUUCCUUCCAAGUGUUUAUUAUACAGAUUUAAUCUAUUUUAUGCCAUGCUUUGUGUGACAUGUGGUUUAGAUGAUUUACAUACUACACAUUCCUCGUCAUUUUGGAACGUGACUAGUGUUCCGGCUGAGCGGAAAUAAUGUCGUUAUGAAGUGUUGUAGCAAUGCAGUGUCUCGGUCCUUUUGUGACUUAUGACGACGAGGAUUUUCACUUAGGACAAGGGAAAUCAAAGGGUUAUCUUUAAUAUAUAGGCAGAACAUAGUACAUACUUACACCUGUAUUGAUUAUACAUGAUAUUGGUUAUGUAUGGAUGUGUGAAUGAAUGAGGUACUUCCUGCAAACAUCAUAAGGUUGCAAUUAUCAAAACUGCAGCUUUUGUGAUGGUCCACAGACACCACCCUUCUUACGAACGAGUUACUACGUUGAACUGCUCGUUAAGUAGAUCAUACUGCAUUUUUCUUCAUGCCUAUUCAAGUACAGUACGACAGAGUCAAUACAGUUCUGUAUGUUUCUUUCAUCCCAAACCACAAUAGUACACUGUAAGAACAGCAAGUUAUGUACAGAACAGAAUUUGAACUCCAGGGUCAAAGGGGAGCGCUCUGACAAUAGUCUUCAUUCUAAUCACGUUCGUUUGGAUCUGAAAGUUCGAUCGGAAGUAGAGAAUGUUCGUAAAUAGGGUGUUGUCUGUGUGUAGUAUACAUUUCAUUUCUUCUGUAAGAAGACCACCAGUACAUUCUAGUGAUUUAUAGAGAACUUGACAUUGUUAAGCUCAAGGUUGGUACAAGAACUGGUUGCAGGCAUUAACGCUGGAUUUCGAGUAAAAAAAAAAAUAAGACACCAAACCAAAGUGCAACAAUUUUAUUCGUCUCUUCUUUUACGAGCCCAGGUGAGGGAACUAUGAUGACAACAAGACUAUGGUGAACUUUCUUAGAGGCAAACUUAAUGACUGCAGCUGGUUUUUGAAAUCCAACUGUGAAAGCAAGAUAAGAACGCUUGUAACUGACGAAUGUAUGGAGGGAAUGAUUUAUAAGUUGGCUUUGGAUUGUAUUAUUAUUAUUAUUAUUAUUAUUAUUAUUAUUAUUAUUAUUAUUAUUAUUAUUAUUAUUAUUAUU